CUUUUGUGUUCUUUAAUAGGUCUUUUAUUUAAAACAAAAAAUAAAUCAAACUGCAUUGAAUGAACAUACAUCAAUGAUAUUGAACGUAGAUACAAUGAAUUAAAGAUCUACACUUCAAAACAGUCACAUGCAAUGUUUCAUGUGGUUAAUCCUAUAUAGAUCUAGGUUAUCUUAGCAUGGCCUCAUUGCAUCAAAGUUUAGAGCUCUGGCUGGUUGGUCACUGUCACAAGGUGACUUCACUGUGUGUGUGUUUUGGAGUAGACUUGCAACCAAGAGAUAGUACCACAACUGGUGGAGUCAUGUGACACUGUUAAAUACCUUAGAUAUCUUGGAUAGACAGAGAGAAAGGGGGGGGGGGGGUGAGAAGUGGCCAAUGACUUGGAG